rnacentral:rRNA from 1 species
GUGCAGCAGUCGCGAAUCUUCCACAAUGGGACGAAAGUCUGAUGGAGCGACGCCGCGUGCGGGAUGAAGGCCUUAUGGGUUGUAAACCGCUGUCAGGGGGGAAGAACAUCGGAAUGAACAAUACUCAUUCCGACUGACGGUUACCCCCAGAGGAAGCUCCGGCCAACUCCGUGCCCAGCAGCCCGCGGUAAUACGGGGGGAGCAAGCGUUGUCCGGAAGUUAAUUGGGCGUAAAGGGCGUGUAGGCGGCGAGGUAAGUCGAAUGUGAAAUCUCACGGCUCAACCCGUGAAACUGCGUUCGAAACUACCCUGCCUUGAGUACGGGAGAGGUGUACGGAAUUCCUGGUGUAGCGGUGGAAUGCGUAGAUAUCA